GGGAUUUCUGCAGGUCUGAAAAUGACAGAAGCGUCGAGGGAGAAGCCUGUAACUGGUUGCCAUCGUGAAAUAGCUUGGUCGUGUUUUCUGAUAGCAUAAGCAACUUGGUCUUGGCCACGUUAAAGAUGGAAGUUACUAAUUUUAGAUCAAGAAUUUCAGCAAGAAGGACAGACCUAUGGCAGAUGGGCCUAAGCUUAGUGCAACAGGACACGCUCUUCCAGGAAAACUCCUUGUUGGCGUCUUGGGACACAGCAGCGCACAAAGCUUUCCAGGACUUAUCUGGAUGCCCAUCAGCCCACUUUGUGUAGCUCACGCUGUAUUCGCUAUCAUUGCUUUUCUGCCAGUACCACUCUGACGUGAAGAGAUUGCGCCGCAGACCGAUCCAGAGGUACCCGCGACUUCCAUUGUUUUGCAGAAAGUUGGUCAUCUCUUUUUGGGCCAUUUCACUGAUUGGUGUGCUCAGCUGGUAAGAUAUAUUUAGGCAGUAAUGAUGGGACUGGUGCCAUGUCAUGACAUCAGUAGUGGUCUUAAAUUGUGCAGAAUCUGCCAUACAGCCAUCACGAUCUGUGCGCACACAAACAUGGGUUAACAUAUUUCCAGUAUGCACUGUGAAUUUUGAUUUAUUCACCAUUUAAUGUAACUUCAAGUAGGAUGAUGUAAUGUAUAUUUGUCAGCAUUUUUCUUGGUCUUGCAUGAUUCAUCUGUGUAUGUUACUCCAAAGAUCAUUUGUGAUGUACAUUCAUAAGAAAAUGUCAGGAACAGAUUUUUUAAAUUAGUAU